rnacentral:tRNA from 1 species
GUCCCUAUCGUAUAGUGGUUAGUACAUCACGUUGUGGCCGUGAAGUCCCCGGCUCGAAUCCGGGUAGGGACA